GAGAGAUACAACAAGAGAGGGAACACAAGCAGGGGGAGUGGGAGAGGGAGAAGCAGGCUUCCUGCGGAGCAGGGAGCCCGAUGCGGGGCCCCAUUCCAGGACCUGGAAUCAUGACCUGAGCCGAAGGCAGACGCUUAACGACUGAGCCACCCAGGCGCCCCAAUAAAUAAAAUCUUUUAAAAAAAAAAAAAAAAGAUCAUGACCUGAGCCAAAACCAAGAGUCAGAUGCUUAACCAACUGUGCCACCCAGGCGCCCCCAGUACCUACUCUUUUUUAAUAGCUGUAUAAUAUUGCAUUUACCAAGUUUAACCAUCUUCUAAAUGAGUGUUUCAGUUACUUCCAACUUUUCUCUUUAAGAAAAUUAUUUUUUUUUUUUUUUUUUUUUUAAGAUUUUAUUUAUUUAUCUGAGAGAGAGAAUGAGACAGAGAGAGAGAGAGCAUGAGAGGGGGAGAGUCAGAGGGAGAAGCAGACUCCCCGCUGAGCAGGGAGUCCGAUGCGGGACUCGAUCCCGGGACUCCAGGAUCAUGACCUGAGCCGAAGGCAGUCGCUUAACCAACUGAGCCACCCAGGCGCCCCAAGAAAAUUAUUUAAGGGGCUCCUGGCUGGCUCAGUCAAUGGAGCAUGUGACUCUUGAUCUCAGGGUUGUGAGUUAGAGCCCCACAUUGGGUCUAGAGAUUACUUUAAAAUCUUUUUUUUUUUUUUAAAGACAGCUAUUUAAUAGUUAUCUUCAUCCACUUGUUUGAUCACUUCCUUAAAGUGUAGUUGUUAUUCAUACUUAAAAUUUGGUAUUCAUUACCAUACUGCCUCCAAAAAGUUUGUCUACUUAACUUUUGUAGCUUGAGAAUUCUAUUUAUAUAAUUGCCGAUUGUCAAUUUUUUUAAUGGUUGCCAGUUUAACUAGUGGGAAAAAUUUAAAUGAUACCUCAUUUCCAUUUUUUGAUGAGUAGAUUAAGUUUUUAAAAAAAUAUUAGCCAUUUAUUUAUUUUUCUUCUGUGAAUUGAUUGUUUUCUCUAACGCCCAAGUGAGGCGGGUUGUUUGUUUUAACCUAAACUUUUUUUUUUUUUUAAGAUUUAUUUAUUUAUUUGAGAGAGCGAGAAUGAGAGAGAGUACAUGAGAGGGGGGAGGGUCAGAGGGAGAAGCAGGCUCCUCGCUGAGCAGGGAGCCCGAUGCGGGACUUGAUCCCGGGACUCCAGGAUCAUGACCUGAGCCGAAGGCAGUUGCUUAACCAACUGAGCCACCCAGGCGCCCAACCUAAACUUUUUGUAUAGCAAGAAUAUUGACCCUUUUUCAUGUUGUAAACAUUCCAGGCUGUUUCUCAUGGCUGGGUUUAGUUAAUGGUGUGUUUUUGUAGUAAAGAAACUUUCCUGUAGUCAGUAUCGUCGAUUUGUUUUGGUUUUGGGGUUUCAUGUUAUUAUAUUAGGCCUUCCCUAUCCUAACGGUAAUAAAAACAAUGUUUUUCCCUAGUACUUAGCAUAUUGGAAUUCUUAUGUAUGAUGCAAUAUGACAUCAGAAUCUUUCCAAAUAUACGGUUGUGCCAGUAUUUUGUUAUAUUGUCAUCCUUUUCUCACUGACUAGAAAUCUUUUUAUCACACACUAAUUACCCACCUACAUGUAUCUUUUUUAAUUCAUCUGAUCCAUUCUUCAUCAGUACCACUGUCUUAUUUGCUUCUGCUUCAUAAUAUAUUUUGAUAAGUUCAGCAGUUUUCCAUCUUUCACAGAACUCUGUCAGAGUUAGGCUCAGAAUAUGUUUGCUUCUGAUUAAAUCGGUUUUCUUUCUACUCCCUUGUCCUGGUCCUUUAAUCAGUUUGGCAGUUUCAUCCAUCAAGAAAUUUAGAAGAAGCUUUUUCUAAGGUGCCCUGGCAGAGAGAGGCAGCUAAAUUCUCUCCCCUAUGUCUGGGACAAAUACUGUGUAAUUUCUCAUAUAGUCAGUAGGUUUUAUUGAGCACCACUACAUCCCAAGCCUUGUGCAAGGUAGUAGCUCUACAAACAGUAGAAAACCUGCUUUCUGACCCCCAAGGAGCCUUGUGUUUGAUAGGGCAGUGGUACAUAUCUUUCAGUCCUUGUAACCCAACUGCCUUAGGUGAUGGAUUGAAAAAAAGACUUUGGAAAGCAAGUAUUAGGUUUUAAAUUAUAUUCAUGAAGUUUUUAUGCAUUUCAUGUUUUGCCUUCUAUGGUCAUUUCUUGCAGUAUUUGAACACACACAGUUCAUAAUCUACACUCUAGAUGGAUUUUUUUUUUUUUUUUUUUACCAACUUUUCUUGUUUAACUUUGACAAAUUAGAUUUCUUUGUCACUCCUAUUGGAGGGUUGUAAUAGCAGAUUCCAUACGAGUGUCCCAGACUUGGCAUGAGCUAAAAAUGUUUUUUUUUUCUUUUUACUAAUUAAUUGUAACAAAUAAGAAGGGAGUUGGGGUGCCUGGGUGGCUCAGUCAUUAAGCGUCUGCCUUCGGCUCAGGUCAUGAUCCCAGGGUCCUGGGAUCGAGCCCCGCAUCGGGCUCCCUGCUCCGCGGGAAGCCUGCUUCUCCCUCUCCCACUCCCCCUGCUUGUGUUCCCUCUUGCUGUAUCUCUCUCUGUCAAAUAAAUAAAUAAAAUCUUUAAAAAAAAGGGGGGGGGGAGUUAAUUAAUUUUUACAGAUAAAGAGUAGACCAUUGGGCCAGUCUUUAUUUUCAGGGCUGUUGAAAAAAUGUUAGCAGUUUGAAUUGGGAGAAACGAUUGUGUUUUAGACAGGAAAAAAGUACACUUGGUCAACGGGUUCUAUCUUUUUUUCCCCUUGCUUAUUUUCUAAAGUUGUAGCUAAUCAUUUCUGCAUGACAACAAUAUGAAAUCCUGUCUACAUGUGACUGGAUUUCAUCUGCCACCUGCCCCUGCCAAAUUGACGUCUUCUGUGGCUUGCAGUUCUGUGCGCCCAUAAAGUAAUCUGGAGAUAAAGAGCAUCCGUGAUCUACUUGGGGGAGAGAAAGGUGUGCUGUUUCUGUGAAGGGUGGAACCUUGUGGCCAGACUUAGCCCACUGGAGAGGUGAGGCAGUAGCAAGAUUCCCCUUGUGAGUUUGGGAAGGGGGGUGGGAGGGGAGUGAGGAGGAGCUCAUGUUGGUCAGCCUUGUAAGGUACGCCCUCCCUAGACAGAUGGUGUAUACAGUUAGUAACUUCACCUCUGGUUGUUCACGGGCCAAAAUCAAACAGUGCAUGUCAGAAUCUGAGGAGUUGGUUUUUCUGCUUCCCACUACUGUGGUAGAGAACAGGUUCCACCCUUGGUGACAGGGAAAGUGGAAUGUAGUCAUUCAGACAUGCAAGCAUCCAAAGGAUGCUUUGUACCGGGUGCUAUGCUAGGGAAAUGCCAAAGGAGUAAGAUAGUUCCUGUCCUGGAGGAAUUUUUCUUUUUGACUCUGUGACACAUGAGGAGCCACCCACAAAAGGGGAUAAUGAAGUGUGAAAAACAUUUGAUAGUAGGCUUCUGGACAGGUGUUCAGUUUUUGGAUGUGAAGAGGUAAUGAUAAAUUUCAUACAUCUAAUUGUACAGAAGGAAACCUUGAAAACAAAUAUUUUCCUACCCUAAUCCCUCCUACUUUAGAGACAGUGAACCCUAUAAAGUUGCUUGGUUUUGACCUACAGAAAGGACAUUUUCAUAGGUUUCAACCUAAUAGACACAAAUGGGAGCCUAUCUUGUUCUGUACCCUACCUUAAAAACUAACUACAUUUUAGAAUGUUCACUCAUAAUACAUGUAAGUCUGCCUGUGUGCGUUUAUGUGUUUUGAAUAUACAUUGUGAAGCAGGGGCAGAACUCUUUUCACCACUUGGGUUUUCUUGGCUGCGAGAGAUGCAUCAAGGAAAGGAGAGAAGUGGACCCAUGACCUUCCCAGUAUGUUAAUGUGGCAGAACCUGGAAGUAGGGCGUCUAGAUUCUUGGCAGCAAUUGAUUUGAGUUGAUAGAUUUGAGAGGAUGGUAGGCCUUGAAAAUGAGGAGGAAAAAUUGGGACUGAAUACAGUAAGAAAGCUGGCGUGGUAUACACUACUACUCUGUGUGGCAGGCUUUGUGUUUUCCGGGUAUGUUACUACUCAAGAGCCCAGGUAGGAAGUACUAUAUGAUGUGGCUAAAGACAAACAGAUUUGUGGUACUCUCAUUUUCAUAUUAACCACAUUUCAUAAUCUGCCCGUAUUUACAUAUUUGAAAGGAAAAUGACAAAAUAUGUGGUACAUUAUUCUAGUUGCAAGGAUUUACAACUAAAAUAGCAUGGGUAGAGGCACCUGGGUGGCUCAGUUGUUAAGUGCCUGCCUUCAGCUCAGGUCAUGAUCUCAGGGUCCUGGGAUCGAACCCCCCCCCCCCCCAUCGGGCUCCCUGCUCCGUUGGAAGCCUGCUUCUCCCUCUCCCACUCCCCUUGCUUCUGUUCCCUCUCUCACUGUUUCUCUCUCUCUCUGUCAAAUAAAUAACAUCUUAAAAAAAUAAUAAAAUAGCAUGGGUAGGAUAUGCGCAAGCCUGGUCUAAGAUGGUGACUAUGGCUCGAAAAGCAGGGACACCUAUUUGACAGAUUUUGCACAGAUAGGGGUAGGCAUGGGCAAGCACAGCAGCGACGGUGAAAAAGGAAAUAGAGCUAACUGCUCCUGAAAAAAUAGGAUUAACCAUUAACCAAAGAUGCAUGGGCAGUGCUGGCAUGGUGUGGUACCCUGAUUUGUAUCCAUUUCUGGUGAUACUGAAUAUAAGUUCCCAACUUCCCCUAUUGCUCCUAACCAAUGAUUAUGUCAUAUUCAUAGUGAACUCAUUCAUAUUCACAGCUAUUGACAGGUUAAUUGUGAGGUAGUUUGGCUGUUUUUGGAGGGAGAAUUUGUUUGGUGGGAAUUGCUGACUGUUAGAACAUUAAUUUCCCAGACAUUAUAACUCCAAGCUUAUCCUGCUGAUACAAAUUUAUUGCUUCAAAAAGGCAUUUUUUUUUAAAGAUUUUAUUUAUUGGAGAGAGAGAGAGCAGGGAGAAGAGCAGUGGGAGAGGAACAAGCAGACUCUGCUGAGUGUGGAGCCCAACAUGGGGCCCAAGAUCAUGACCUGGGCUGAAAUCAAGAGUCGGAUGCCCGGGGCACCUGAGUGGCUCAGUUGGUUAAGCGUCUGCCUUCGGUUCAGGGGUUCAGGUCAUGAUCCCAGGACCCUGGGAUCUAGCCCCGCAUCCCAUCUGGCUCCCUACUGAGCAGGGAGCCUGCUUCUCCCUCUCCCUCUGCCUGCCACUCCCCUUGCUUGUCCCCUCCCUCUCUCUGUCAAAUGUAUAAAUAAAAUCUUUAAAAAAAGAGUCGGAUGCCCAGCUGGCUGAGCUACCCAGGCGCUCCCCAAAAAGGCAUGUUUUAGAGAGAGAAGGCUUCUGGAGUGAGAGCUAAGUACUUUAGCUGUAUGGAGCAUUCUUUGUAUCCUUUCUUACAUAUGCUUCCAGAAAGAUGCUUCUAUUAAGACAAAGGAAGCUAAAUAUUUUAGCAAAUCUUCAAGUCCCUAAUGUGUUCUGAGCACAGAGUUAGAAGUAUUAACUCCAGCUGUACCUUCAGAGCACUGGACAGUUGUACCUAGAAUAAAGACUCCCGAAGUAAAUUCUAUGCCAUGCUCCCAUCAGCCACCUCUUAAUACUACAUAUCACUUCUAGUAUUUUGAAUAGUACUUAAACCCAGGAGCCACUAGUUUGGUAUUUUAAGUCUGUGCUAUUAGAUUAUCUUUGUCUUCUGCCACAUAUCAGUUCCUUUCCUGUGGUGGUCCUCUGUGGUUACAAGAGAUUUAAGAAAGAUGUUACAUUUAAGGAGGGAAUGACUCAUCCUGACCCUUUACCAAAACUAGAAAACAAAUCAUACUUGUGUCAAAAAAAAAAAAAAUGCAUGUACCUGGCAUUUUCUGCUGAGAGAAUUAGCAGUGAUUCAAGAGCUUGAAUGAGUUUGGUCAAGGUCUGAAAAUUGGACUGGUUCACUGAUAAUUUAAAUUAAUUAAAAGACUAUAGACUGCAGUGAUAUCACACAAAAUGAUUGAGUGGGAAGCUUUAGAGGUCAGUCCCUCUACCAAGUCAGCCAUUGACCUUCAAAGAAUAUUUGGAAUCAACUAUAUUGGAACUCUGGAACCCGAUUGGGUGGAGGUGUGCUUCGUGAAGGGAUAGACUCCUGAUCUUUCAUAAGUGAUUGCUGUGCUCACAAAUGGACAAUUCCUGCUCUCAGCAAACAACAAUCCGCAAUCCCUGAGGAACAGGAGAGUGAGAUUUCCUGGUAUCCAAUGUGAGAAUACCACAUUAUAAUACUCAGAAUGUUCAUUUCUCACACAAGAAAAAAAUAUGAAACAUAUAAAGAAACAGGAAAGUGUGGCCCAUUCACAGGAAAAAAAGGAAUUGGACAGAAACCAUCUCAGAGGAAGCUUAGAUAUUGAAAUUAUAAGUUAAAGACAUUAAAUCAGGGCGCCUGGGUGGCUGAGCGCCCAACUCUUGAUUUCAGCUCAGGUCAUUAUCCUGGGGUUGUGGCAUCGAGACCGAUUUUGGGCUCCGUACUCAGCAAGGAAUCUGCUUCUCUCUCUCUCCCUUACCCCCUCCUUGCUUGCCCGUGCUUUCUCUCUCUCUCAUUUAUAAAAUAAAUAAACCUUGUUUUUUAAAAAAAAAGACAUUAAGUCAACUGUGUUAAAUAUACUCAAUGAGCUAAAGGAAAUCAUGGACAAGGAAAUAAAGGCAAUUGAGAAUACAAUGCACAAAAUGAGACCAUCAAGAAAGAAAUUAUAAAAAGGGAACAAAUUCUGGAGCAGAAAAAAAAGUACAGUAACUGAAAUGAAAAUUUUUUUUUAAGAUUUAUUUGUUUAUUUUAGAGAGGGAGAGAGAAUCUCAGGCAGACUCCCUGCUGAGCAGGGAGCCCAACGCAGGGCUCCAUCUCACAACCCUGAGAUCAUGACCUGAGCCAAAAUCAAGAGUCAGACACACAACCGACUGAGCCACCCAGGCACCCCUGAAAUGAAAUUUAUUAGAAGGGUUUAGCAGCAGAUGUGAGCAGACAGAAGAAAAGAUCAGCAAGCUGAAGGUAAGACCAUCAAAAUUAUUCAGCCUGAGGAACAGAAAGAGAAAAUUAUGAAAAAUGAACACAGCCUGAGGGACCUGCAGACAUCAUCAAGCAUGCCAAAUACACUUCAUAGGAGCUCCAGGAGGAGAAUAUAUAGAGAGGAACAAAACGUUUGUGAAAAUCUAAUCUCCAGAAACUUCCAGAAUUUAAUGAAUUUACACAUCUAAGAAGCUUAAUGAUCUCCAAGGAGGAUAAACUUAAGAAAUCUGUGCCAAGACACAUUACAGUCAAGUUGUAACUUGAAUUUGCAAAGCAACAAGAACUUGAAAGCAAGAGAAUCAACUUGUCAUAUAUAAGGGAUUCUAAAUAAGAUUUUAACAGUUGAUUUCUCAUCAGAAAUCAUGGAUGCCAGGGGCACCUAGGUGGCUCAGUCAUGUAGUGUCUGCCUUUGGUUCAGGUCAUGAUCCUGGGGUCCUGGGAUCGAGGCCCAUGUCGGGCUCCCUGUUCAGUGGGGAGUCUGCUUCUCCCUCUCCCUCUACCCCUCCACCCCACUCAGGCUGUCUCUCUCUUUCUCAAAUAAAAUCUUUUUUAAAAAAGAAAGAAAUCAUGGGUGCCAGAAGACAGUAAAGAUGAUGUUUUUUAAAGUCCUGAAAGGGGGGGAAAAACCUUACCAAUUAAGACUUCUAUAUCUGGCAGAACUAUCCUUCGAGAAUGAAGGAGAAAUUAAGGUAUUUCCAGAUGAACAAAAGUUGAGGGUAUUCAUUACCGGUACUCCUGCACCAUGGGAAAUGCUAAAGGGAGUUCUUCAGUCUGAAGUGAAAAGACAGUAGAUACUAACUCAAAGCCGUAAGAAGAAGACUGGUGUAGGUAACUAUAAAAGCCAGUAUUCUCUUUUGUUUUGUCCUUUUUAAAAAAUAUAUGAUUUAAAAGACAGAAACACGUGGGCCCCUUGGUGGCUCAGUCAGUUAAGUGUCUCCCUACUGGCUCAGGUCAUGAUCUCAGAGUCCUGGGAUGGAGCCCUGCACCGGGCUCCCUGCUCAGUGAGGAAUCUGCUUCUUCCUCUACCUCUGCCCCUCCCACCACUUGUGCUUUCUCUCUCUCUCUCAGAUAAAUAAGUAAAAUCUUUUUUGAAUAAAUGACAGAAACAUGAAAGUUAUAAGUUGUCGUAACAGGCACACAUGUAUAUAGAUGUAAUCUAUGAUAAUAACAAUGUAAAGGAGAAAGGACAGAAUAGAACAGAGUGUAAACUAUUGAAACUAAAUUGAUAUUAUUUAAAUUAGGUUAUUAUAAAUUUAAGAUGUUAAUUGUAAUCCCCAAGGUAACCACUAAGAAAAUAAUAAAUAUACAGAAGAGGAAAGAAGAGGGAACCAAAAUGAUACAUAAAAAUUACAUUAGGGGCGCCUGGGUGGCUCAGACAGUUAAGCGUCUGCCGUCAGCUUAGGUCAUGAUCUCAGGGUCCUGGGAUCGAGUCCCAUGUCCAGCUCCUUGCUUAGCAGGGAGUCUCCUUCUCCCUCUCCCUCUGCUCCUCUCCCCGCUUGCACGCUUUCUCUCAGAUAAAAUCUUUUUUUAAAAUUAUAUUAAAAAUUCAACUAAAUACAAAAAAUAUCAGUAAAUGAAGAACUGAACAAUGGAAAAAUAGAUAUACAGAAAACGAAUGGUACAUGGUGGAAGUAAAUCUUUCUUUAUCAAUAAUAACUAAGUCCUCUUCCCCAAGUAUCUUGCAGACACAGCAUGUACUUCUUACAUUGCUCCCAUCUGCAGCUGUUUGUGCCUAGUCUCUAGCUGACCUGUACUGUGUUGUCAGGCUUGCUGGAGCUCAGCAUCUUCUUUCUCUUCAUUUAAAAUUCAGGAAGUACAGCUCGACCUCCCCCAUGGUCUUUGAUUUGAUUUCUGCCUCGGCCAUUCACCAUGAGAGAUUAAAUUGGCCUCUAUUUUGUUUGCCUUUCUGAUUCUUGCUGGGCAGCCUAAAACAGAAGUGUCUUAGAGGGCGCCUGGGUGGCUCAGUUGGUUAGGCGACUGCCUUCGGCUCAGGUCAUGAUCCUGGAGUCCCGGGAUCGAGUCCCGCAUCGGGCUCCCUGCUCGGCAGGGAGUCUGCUUCUCCCUCUGACCCUCCCCCCUCUCAUGUGCUUUCUCUCUCUCAUUCUCUCUCUCUCAAAUAAAUAAAUAAAAUCUUAAAAAAAAAAAAGUGUCUUAGAAUAAAGUUGAGGAACCUGCCAGCCGUUGCUGUUGGCCCUGGCUGUGACCUGAAGGAGAGGUUUGGGUUGUACCAUCAGGCUGCAUGGUUUGCAGAGGGUUUCCUUUUAAGGACACACAUUGAGGACAGUUGGUUCCCUCUGGUGCUGUGCUACUGCUGCUGGUGCUGGGGGUGGAGGAGGCCCCAGGGCCACUGCUAGGGGGCUGAGCUGGGGAUGGUGGUCCUUGACUCCAGACGGGGUGUGGGGGACUGGCAGGCACUGUGGCCUUCUACUGUGAGUUCUGGUGCUCCCAGGUGGAAAUAGCAGGCUUGUUGCAGGUAUUUUUUACUGCCUUGUCAAGACACCUGCUGAACCUUCUAGGUUGGGGAAAGAAUGCAACUGUUAGGGUUAGCAGAAGGGGGGGAGGGGCUUAUUAUGAUGGGGGUGGCCCUUCACCUUGGGUUUCUUGAGCUUGGGAUCACUUAGGAGGCCAUCACACUCUCGUACCUCCAUGCUGUUCAUGAGUCCUGGAUCUGGUCCCACCCAUAGCCCAUGUUCAUCAUUACUUUUGUCACCCCAGGGGUCCUUGUUGUCAUGAGGCACUCUGUAAGAUGUGAGUUUCUCUUCCUGGCCCGUAUUUAUCCUUGGAUCCCUCAUAAUAUUUUCUUUCUUUCUUUUUUUUUUUUAAAGAUUUUAUUUAUUUAUUCAUGAGAGGCAGAGAGAGAGAGGCAGAGGGAGAAGCAGGCUCCCAAGGAGCAGGGAGCCCGAUGCGGGACUCGAUCCCAGGACGCUGGGAUCAUGACCUGAGCCGAAGGCAGACACUUAACCAUCUGAGCCACCCAGGCACCCCCCUCAUAAUAUUUUCUGAUGUUCCUCUAUCACUGCAGUUGAGGGUCAUCAGUUUUCUCGAGAUUUUCACAUUCAAGAGAUAAAGAACAUUGGAAUGUGGUAUUGCCCCCUUAGGAUCUGCUUCUGUAGCUCCCUGAAGUCCUCUCCCACAAAAGGCAGGGACACCAGUGACCAUAGUGACAGAAUGAUUACCAUGCUUCACACAUCCACCAUAGUGGAUCGUUGUAUUUGGGGGGUGGGGGCAGAGGGAGAGAGAAAGAGAAUCUUAAGCAGGCUCUAUGCUGGGCGAUGUGGGGCUCGAUCUUAAAACCCUGAGAUCAUGACCUGAGCUGAAAUCAAGAGUUGGACACUUAACCAACUGAGCCCCGCAAGUGACCUUGGAUCAUUGUACUUUUGGCACAGGAAGGGUUCUGGGGUAGUAUAAGGGAGGCCGUUACAGUAGGUAUUCUGCUUAUGGCCAGUGGGGAACUCAUUGCUGAGGCCAAAGUUUGCAGUUUUUACAUUCAUCUGAGUGUCACAAAGAAGGUUCUCUGGCUUCAGGUCCCUGUGGAUGAUACCAUUCUGGUGGCACUACUGCACAGUGGAUACUAGCUGCUGGAAUUUGCCUCUGGCCUCUUUCUCUGUCAUGUGGCCAUGGUCCAUUGUAAAUAAACAUGUCUCCUCCACUAACGUACUCCAAGACAAGGAAUAGUGCUUCCUCAGUGUCAGUCACCUCAACUUUACAGUAUUGGUGAGAUUCAAGGCCUUUGUGCUGUGUGCGUCUUAGAAAAGUCCCUGGAAACUGGAGGAGCUCUGCUGACUGUUCUUAGUGACCUUCACAGCCUCUGUCCCAGUCAAGAUGUGCUGGGCUAACCUCACCACUGGCAGUUACCCUGGCCAGUGGUCUCAAGGAGCUCGUAAUUGUAGAUAGGGGUGAUUUGUUAGCAGAGAUGGCUGCAAGGCCGUGCUGCAUGGUGAUCUGCUAACUGUACUAACUGGCGAUACUCAUUGUGCUAACAACACUAAUGAUAUAAAAUAAUAAUUACGCUUACUAACUAUGCUAAUAAAAGAAUAAAAAUGAGAAAAGACAAUGAAGAAAAAUAAGGUAGAACAAAGAAAAACAAGAAAAAGAAAGAAGAUGGAAAGAAAAAAAGGAGUAAACCUGUCAGGUUACUAAAGUCCAUCAGGUCACCAGAAAUCAGCUUUCUGAGCUAUAAAGACCAAAAACCUAGGCCUAGACAGGGGCCCAAAUGGGUCUUUGUAGUUCCAUCACAGUGGUGCAGGGCAAGAAAUGGGCUGAUAAUGGCUGGGGAUAAUCUACAUUGGUUUUCUUGCCCUUUUUUUUUUUUUUUUUUAAGAUUUAUUUAUCUAUUUGAGAGAGAGGGUGGGGAGAGAGGGAGAGAAGAGAAUUUGAAGCAGACUCCCUGCUGAGCAGGGAGCCCAAUGCAGGGCUCAGUCUCACAACCCUGAGAUCAUGACCUGAGCUGAAAUUAAGAGUCAGACGCUUAACUGACUGAGCCACCCAGUCAGGUUUUUUUUUUUUUUUCCUUAAAAGAUUCCAAAGAUCAUUAUUAGACAGUAAUAUUUACUUUAUUGAAAAUUAAAUUAAAUUAAAAUGUGUGGUGCUUCAGUGGGCUUUUUCUUUCUAGUUUGGAAAUCUGUAAUAAUUUCUGGCUUUAAAGACCUCAGUGUUUACACUUAAAAUACUCAUUUCAUUUUGCUUAAACUCUGGUCUCAAAAUGAUGAUACAACUCUGUUAGCAUCACAGUACUAUAGGAAAGGGUUUUGUUGCAUACAACACAAUAAGGUACCUUAUUAAUAUCUGUAAAACUGAGGGGUAAUGACAAAGAAAAUAGCUAUAGAAUACACACAGAAGGAAAUGAGAAGGGAGUUAAAAUGUUUUACUGCAAAAAAAAUCAGCUGAACACAGAAGAAGAUGUGCAGAACAAUCAAAAAGCUAUUAAGGCCUAUAGAACACAAACACCAAAGUGACAGAAAUAAGGCCUUCCUUAUCAGUAAUUUCUUUAAAUAUAAACGCAUUAAACUCCAAAAAGACAGAUUGGCAGAUUGGAUAGAAAAACCUGAUCCAACUAUUUAUUUACAAGAGACUCGGUUUAGAUCCAAAGACACAAAAAAUUUGAAUAUGAAAGAGUGGGAAAAGAUAAUUCACAUAAAUAGUAACCAAAAGAGAGCUGGGGUGGCUGUACUGAAAUGAGUCAAAAUAAAUUUUUUUUUAAGAUUUUAUUUCUUUAUUUGUCAGAAAGAGAGCACAAGCAGGGGGAGGAGAGGGAGAGGGAGAAGCAGACUCCCCGCUGAGCAGGGAGCCUGAUGUGGGCCUGGAUCACAGGAUCCCAAGAUCAUGACUUGAGCCGAAGGCAGACAGAUGCUUAACCGACUGAGCCCACCCAGGUGCCCCUCAAGAUAGAUUUUUUUUUUUAAGAUUUUAUUUAUUCAUUUGAGACACAGAGAUAGAGAGAGAGAGAAAGCAUGAGCAGGGAGAGAGGCAGAGGGAGAGGGAGAAGCAGGCUCCUCGCUGAGCCAGGAGCCCGAUGUGGGGCUCGAUCCCAGGACCCUGGGAUCGUGACCUGAGCCGAAGGCAGACGCUUAACCAUCUGAGCCACCCAGGCGCCCCGAGAUGGAUUUUAAAUAAAAAAAAUUUACAAGAGACAAAGAAGAACAUAUGUUAAUAAAAGGUUCAGUACAGCAAGAAGAUAAAAUAAUGGUAAACAUUUAUUACAUCUGAUGACAGGUCAUCAAAUUAUAUGACGCAGCCCUUCCCUUUUGUGGCCAUCACUGAAGCGCCAGUGGCCAAAAUGAAGUUCAAUCCCUUUGUGACUUCUGACCGGAGCAAGAACCAUAAGCAGCAUUUCAGUGCACCUUCCCAAAAAAUUUGCAAGAAGAGCAUGUCUUCCCCUCUUUCCAAAGAGCUGGGACAGAAGUAAAACGUUCAUUCCAUGCCCAUCUGAAAGGAUGAUGAAUUGCAGGUUGUGCGAGGACACUACAAAGGUCAGCAAAUUGGCAAAGUAGCCCAGGUUUACAGGAAGAAGUAUGUUAUCUACAUUGAAUGAGUACAGCGAGAGAAGGCGAAUGGCACAGCUGUCCAUGUGGACAUUCACUUUAGCAAGGUGGUUAUCACUAGACUAAAACUGGACAAAGACUGCCAAAAGAUCCUUGAACAUGAAGCCAAAUCUUGCCAAGUAGGAAAAGAAAAGGGCAUAUAUAAGGAAGAAAGAAUUGAGAAGAUGCAGGAGUAAUCUUAUAUGCAACUUUAAAUACAAACUGUUAAGAGGCGCCUGGGUGGCUGAGUCGAUUAAGCGUCUGACUCUGGCUCGGGUCAUGAUUCCAGGGUCCUGGGAGCCUGCUUCUCCCUCUCUCUCUACCGCUCCCCCUGCUUAUGCUCUCUCUCUGUCUGUCAAGUAAAUAAAAUCUUUUUAAAAAAACAAAAACUGUUAAAAUGAAAAAAAAUUAUAUGAAGCAAAAAUUGACAGAACUGAAGGGAGAAAUAGGUAAUUUCACAAUGAUAUUCAAGAGUGGGUAGAACCAGAGAACAGAGAAGUGAGGAAAUAGAGAACUUGAACAACAGUAACCCAACCAGAUCUAACAGACACAGGACCCAACAACAGCGCAUGCAUUCUUCUCAAGUGCACAUGGGACCUUCUCUAGGACACACCUGGUGUUAGGCCACAAUUUAAGGCUUGGUGGCAAGAUAGAUAUCAUACAAAUUUCUCUUCUGACCACAAUGAGAUGAAGUUAGAAAUCAGUAACAGGAGGAAAACUGGAAAAUUCACAAAUCUGUGGAUGUUAAACAACACACUCUUAAAGAACCAGUGGGCCAAAAAUGAAAUCACAAGGGAAAUUUUUAAAUACUUAAGAGAUGAAUAAAAUGAAAACACAAUAUACUAAAACUUAUGCGACACAGCAGAGCACUGCUAAGGGGGAAAUUCAUAGUGAUAAAUGCUAACAUUAAAAAAAGAAAGGAAACCUCUCUUUUAAGAUUUUAUUUAUGUAUUUGAGAAGGAACACACACAAGCGCGGGGGUGGGGGGCGGUGGUCCGCAGAGGGGGAGGAGUGGGAGAGAAUCUCAAGCAGACCCUGGACUGAGCACAGAGCCCCAUUCAGGGCUCAGUCUCACAACCCUGAGAAUUACGAGCUGAGCCGAAACCAAGAGUCACAUGCUUAACCAGCUGAGCCACCUAGGUGCCCUAAGAAGAAACAUCUCUAAUCAGCAACCUGACUUUACUUCCUGUGGAAUUAGAAAAAGAACAAACCCAAAGCUAGUAGAAGGAAAGGAAAUAAUAAAGAUUAGAGCAGACAGAUUUCCGGCUGGAUUGACUAAGAAGAAAAAAAACCCUCCUAUUUCUAAAAUCAGAAAUUAACUUUGUGGGGAUGUUACUACCAAUUCUACAGGGGGAAAAAAAAGAUUAUAAGAGAGUCCUAUGAACACUUGUAUACCAGCAGGUUUAAUAACCUGGAUGAAAUUAAUAAGUUCCUGGAAACACAAACUACCAAAACCGACCCAAUAAAAAUCAUACUUGUUGUCAAGUAAGGAGAUCAAAUCAGUUACCCAAAACCUACCAACAAAGAAAAGCCCUGGACCUGAUGUCUUCACUGGUGAAUGCUAACAUUUAAAGAACUAACACCGAUCCUCACAUUCUUCCCAGAAGUCAGAGGGAGGAACACUUACUAAAUCAUUCUGUGAGCCAACAUUGCUCUGAUACCAGGACCAGGCAAAUGCUACAAAAAAAAAAGUUAAACUACAGGUCAGUAGCCCUUACAAACAAUGAUUCAAAGAUCUUGAGUAAAAUACCAGCAAACCAAAUAUUAAGCAGCCUAUUAAAAGAAUUUAUACACCAUGAGCAAGUGGGAUUUGUUCCUGGAAUGCUAGGAUGAUUGCACAUUGAAAAAGUGAUCAAUAUAGUACACCACAUUAACAAAGUGAAAGGAACAAGAAAAACACAUGAUCAUCUCAAUUGAUGCAGGAAAAGCCUUUGACAAAAUUCAGCCUUUCGUGACUGAAACACUAGGAAUAGAAGAUGAUCACUUCAAUAUAAUAAAAGUCAUAUAUGAAAAGCACCCAGUGAACAUUAUAGUCAGUGGUAAAAGACUGAUAGCUCUUUCCUCUGAUUUAGUUCAGGGACAAGGCAAGGAUGCCUACUGCCACCACUUCUAUUCAUAACAGUACUAGAAGUUCUAACCAGAGCAGUUUGUCAAGAAAAGGAAAUAAAAGCCAUCCAAGUGGGAAAGGAUGGAGUAAAAUUAUCUCUGUUGCAGAUUACAUGAUCUUAUAUAUGUAGAAUAUCUGAAGAUUUCAUACUUAAAAAUAACCUGUUAGAGCUAAUAAACUAAUUCAGCAAAGUUGCAGGAUAGAAAAUGACGCAAAAACGAGUUGCAUUUCUUUCUUUUUUAUUUUUUUUUCAGUUGCAUUUCUGUAUACUAACAAUGAACUAUCCAAAGAGGAAACCACUUACAAUAGCAUCAAAAAAAGUAAAAUUAGCUUGGUAGGAAAGACGGAUACCAUCUGAUUUCAUUCAUAUAUGGCAUCUAGGAAAUAAAACAAAUGAGCAAAGGCAAAAAAAAGAGACAAACCAAGAAACAGACUGUUAACUAUAGACAACACACUGAUGGUUACCAGAGGGG